UGUCCUGUAAGCUCAGUGGUUAGAGCACUUGCCUCAAAAGCGAGAGACCUAGGUUUGAUCCCUGGCAGGGCGA